UACGUAGGGUGCGAGCGUUGUUCGGAAUUACUGGGCGUAAAGGGUGCGCAGGCCGCGCGGGCAGUCAAAUGUGUAAUCCAGGGGCUCAACCCCUGAACUGCGCUUGAUACUUCCGCGCUCGAGCUUUGGAGAGGAGUCUGGAAUUCUCGGUGUAGCAGUGAAAUGCGUGGAUAUCGAGAAGAACACUUAGGGCGUAGGCAAGACUCUGGACAAAUGCUGACGCUCAUGCACGAAGGCUAGGGUAGCGAACGGG
rnacentral:rRNA from 1 species